GAUGAACGCUGGCGGCGUGCCUAAUACAUGCAAGUCGAGCGAACAGACGAGGAGCUUGCUCCUCUGACGUUAGCGGCGGACGGGUGAGUAACACGUGGAUAACCUACCUAUAAGACUGGGAUAACUUCGGGAAACCGGAGCUAAUACCGGAUAAUAUAUUGAACCGCAUGGUUCAAUAGUGAAAGACGGUUUUGCUGUCACUUAUAGAUGGAUCCGCGCCGCAUUAGCUAGUUGGUAAGGUAACGGCUUACCAAGGCAACGAUGCGUAGCCGACCUGAGAGAGUGAUCGGCCACACUGGAACUGAGACACGGUCCAGGCUCCUGCGGGAGGCAGCAGUAGGGAAUGUUCCGCAAUGGGCGAAAGCCUGACGGAGCAACGCCGCGUGAGUGAUGGAGGUCUUCGGAUCGUAAUACUCUGUUACUAGGGAAGAACAAAUGUGGAAGUAACUAUGCACGUCUUGACGGUAACUAAUCAGAAAGCCACGGCUAACUACGUG
rnacentral:rRNA from 1 species